rnacentral:lncRNA from 1 species
AUCUUUAAGGCAUUAAACUGAGAAGAACCACUGAGGAAAGCAUGCCACAGUCUUUCCCAAAAUCCCUGUGUCUUAAGGAACAACCAAGAAGUUAACUGGUCAGGGAAAAGAUUUCUUUUGGAACACAGAAGCCAUCGCUGUGUGCGGAAAUCCAUGACCUGGCCAUGACUUCUACAACCCGGAGGACUUGCCUGGCAUUACCGAAAAGCACAGGGGAAAGAUUCUGUGGCAGGUGCCGCAUUUCAUCCAGCUCACUCCGUGCUAGUUCCUAAGACAUCUUAAUUCUUACACAUAUGCAUAAUCGUGAUAUUUUGCCAUGAAUAACAAUAUAUUUCACAAUUAUCAACCAUUUUAAUUUUUAGCUUUCUAACCUCGGACUACUAUAAUAAAAAGAAAUAAUAAAUCCAAAAGUAGUAGUGG